UUUAAUUGAAGAGUUUGAUCAUGGCUCAGAUUGAACGCUGGCGGCAGGCCUAACACAUGCAAGUCGAGCGGCAGCACAAGUAAGUUUACUUAUGAGGUGGCGAGCGGCGGACGGGUGAGUAAUGCCUAGGGAUCUGCCCAGUCGAGGGGGAUAACAGUUGGAAACGACUGCUAAUACCGCAUACGCCCUACGGGGGAAAGAGGGGGACCUUCGGGCCUC
rnacentral:rRNA from 1 species